UGAGUGCCAUGGGGGGUGUCAGGGAGAAGACAAUUCCUACAAUGCCACCUCAUGUAGCUGAAACCUCGCCUUCCUCUCCUAAGUGUUCUGUGCCUGAGUGCUGGGGUCAGGAUUAUGCAUGGUCCCAACAGGGCUUGACCAGGCAGGACAAGCAAUGAGUGGCUCAGUUUGCGGGACCAUUUGGAGUUUGAUCGCUUCUAGGGUCGAAGGAGUCCCAGUGCUUUAAAAUACACUCCAGGGGAGUACACGUUACUACCUUGUGAAGAGGGUGCCUGCUUCUGCUUCACCUUCAGCCAUGAUUGUAACUUUCCUGAGGCCUCCCCAGCCAUGCAGAACGGGAACAGAUUUGAGGACAUCCUCCAGCACGAUCAGUCUGGGAGAUAUGCGGAAAGAAUAAUCAUCUUACAGGCACCAUGUACCUAUCACCUGGUAUAAGAAAGAAAUCCUUAGCAAUAAAGACGGAACCACGUAUGUCCUCCUCCCCUCACCCUCAGAGGGAGGCGUUAUGGACCCCGCAGACGCCAGGAGCCCCAGUGCAUCGGUUCUUCUUCGGGGAGGCCACGUCCCCUCCCCAUACCCUUGAAGGCGAUGCCCGCGUUGUUGACCAGCACGUCCAGGCCCCCGUACUCCUUGCGCAGGAAGUCGCGCAGGGCGCGGAUGCUCUGCAGAUCGUCGAUGUCCAGCUGGUGGAAGCGCGGGCUCAGGCCCUCCGCCUGCAGCUGCUGUACGGCCGCCUGGCCCCGCGUCACGUCCCGCGCCGUGAGCACCACGUCCCCCGAGAACAGCCGGCACAGGUCGCGCACGAUGGCCAAGCCGAUGCCCUUGUUGCCUCCAGUCACCAGCGCUACAUGGAUGCCGGACGACAUGGCUGAACGGGGCGCGCGGAACACCUGCGUGGAGAACAGACCUGGCUCAGGCCCGGGAGCCCCGCAGCGUGUUCCAGAGACUGCUCGAGUCUGGCGGUCGUGGGCGCGCACCCGUGGGUUACACGCCCGGCCGCUGAGCGCGCAGGCGCAGGCCCCGCCCUAGCGGGGCGGGGCUGAACCAUCCCUACCCCUCCCCACCGGAACCUCGCCGGGGUGCGGAGCAGGCGGAGAGCCAGCUAGCCUGACUUUGCAGAACCCGCAGGCCGAAGACCGAGGCUGGUCUCUAGCUACUGGCUGUUGGCUGCCCACGUGGCAGUGAAGAACCAUUCCUAGUGGCCAUGUGCCUAGAUCUGAACUCACUGCUUGCCCUUGGUUCUCUGAGGGGUUUUCUUCAUAUUCUCCCAGCUGUUCAAUCAUUCCUAGUUGUGUUUGAAGAAAUAGUACAUUUGCAUGGUUUUUUUUUCUUUUUUUCC
rnacentral:lncRNA from 1 species